UACGUAGGGUGCGAGCGUUGUCCGGAAUUAUUGGGCGUAAAGAGCUCGUAGGCGGUGUGUCACGUCGGCCGUGAAAAACCUGCAGCUUAACUGUGGGCGUGCGGUCGAUACGGGCAUCACUGGAGUUCGGCAGGGGAGACUGGAAUUCCUGGUGUAGCGGUGAAAUGCGCAGAUAUCGUAAGGAAGACCAGUGGCGAAGGCGGGUCGUCUGGACAGUUCCUGACGCUGAGGCACGAAGGCCAGGGGAGCAAACGGG
rnacentral:rRNA from 1 species